rnacentral:lncRNA from 1 species
AAACACAACGUCUUCUUUCCUCAAUCUUUAGUCUCCACCCACUGAUAUCCUCCAUUGAACCCGUAUCAAAACAACCAUCAAUCUCGCCACCAGUAGUCACCAUUGACCUAACCACCAUCAAAACUCUACAACCCAUCUUCAUCCUCUCUCCACAAUGACAUUUGAAGGAAGAGAAAAUAAAAAACAAAGUAAAAAAAUCAUCUCCUUUCCUUAUUGUUGAAAACCAUCUUUUUUUUACCUCCACAGCUAACCAUCCCUCCUCCUCUCGCUGGCUCCUCCACUGUCAGCCAACCAGCACCACGCGAGCAACGACAUCUCUCUCUUUAGCAACCGUUGUCCAACCUAUCACAGCCAUGACCAUCCUUACAACUAACAACCCUCAAGCCACAAUAACUAUCGACUUGAACUAGCUAGAAAAAAUAACUAUACACCUUCCAGUCGUCUACAACAUCAGCGUUGUCAGUAAUUUUCUAUAAGUCCAGUCGCCCUACAUAAUAGUGUUGUCAACAAUCUUUUCCAAGUCCAGCCGUGACAGCACCCCUCAACUUCUCAAACGGUAACAUCCUCCACCAUUAGAAAUGUUCUAUCAACCCAACUUCCCCUAACCGAUGUUUCACCCACAGAUCCAAAACAACCAACUCUUUUAUGACAACCAAAAACCUUUCUCUUAGAACACAAACCACCACCACACACUUCACCAUAGACUCGUCACUUGCCUACAACAGACCCUUUGUUUACCUGAAACAAAAAAGAAAGAAAGAGGAAACUAAGAGAAAGAUAAUAGAGAAAAGCAAAUUUAAAAAAUAAAAAGAAGGAAAGGACCCUGAAAAUACUUUUGCAGAAUAAGUGAAGAACCGAGAAGCAGAAAAAUAAAAGACUUUGAUCUCUACAGUGACUGUUUGUUACUGUAGAUCAACACCAGAAAUUUGAAUUUGAACAGGGGAUGUUUAUUGCAUGAAAAACUGGAUAAUGAUAAGGAUAAUUGCUCACUUUUACAGCAAUCAAUUACACUGAUUUAUAGAAGAAAAUAAACAGAAAAACUAAAAAUACGCAACACUACUGCCACGUUUGGCUUACAUUUCGCCAUUACUAACAAUUCACCUAAGGACUUGUUCAAUCCUUUAUUCUAGCAGAGAUAAAAACAAUACGUGAGCUGAACUGGUCUUCAAGCAACACGUCAGCAACUUAAGGCAAUAAAUUUCAACACUCCUCCUUGCAUUAAGGGCUGCAAACCCCAAUCAUCCUGGUUAGAAAUUCAAACCGAUUUGCAGGGAGUGCUUUGGUAAACAAGUCUGCCAAUUGAUCUUCGGUUCUGCAAUAAAUCAAUUCAACAUCACCAUUUUUCUGCACAUCACGAACAAAGUAUAACUUGAUGUUGAAAUGUUUGGUUUUCCCGUGGAACACUGGAUUGUGAGAAAUUGCUAUGGCUGCUUGAUUGUCAACUGAAAUUUCAGUUGCUUCUUGCUCCUCCAUCUGUAAAUCACAUAGCAAUUUUUUAAUCCAUAGUGCUUGAUUAACUGCUGCAGUUGCAGCUAUGAACUCAGCCUCCGCAGUUGAUUGAGCGACAAUGCUUUGCUUCUUAGAUGACCAUGAAAACACAGCUGAUCCUAAAUUGAAACAAAACCCCGAAGUACUUUUCAUGUCAUCAACAAAUCCACCCCAAUCACUGUCAGAGAAACCAUGCAACUUCAGCUUUUGACACUUUGUAAAUUUGACUCCAAAAUUGCAUGUUCCUUUGAUGUAUCUCAAAACUCUUUUGGCUGCCCUCAUGUGCAACUCACUUGGACAGUGCAUGAAACGAGCAAGAAGAUUGGUUGCAUAUAAUAUGUCAGGUCUGGUUGCUGUUAAAUACAGCAAGCAACCAAUUAAGCUUCUGAACCUUUCUUCAUCUACCUUGGCAGUACCAUCAUCCUUGCUGAACUUGUCCUUCUGAUUCAUUGGAGUUGCAGUUGGCUUGCAAUUUUCCAUUUGAAAUUUCUUCAAAAUUUCCUUUGCAUAUUUUUCUUGUCCAAUAAAAAUUUCUCCUCUGUCUUGCUUGAUCUCCAUGCCGAGAAAGAAACUCAUGAGCCCAAGAUCACUCAUCUCGAAAGCUUGCAUCAUAUCCUGCUUGAACCUUUCGAUUUGCUGCAAAUUACUCCCAGUCACAAGAAGGUCAUCAACAUACAGUGACACAAUUAGAACAUCACCUUCAAUUUUGUUCACAUAGAGAGUUGAUUCAGAGGGGCUUCUCUGGAAACCAAAACCUGUCAAGUACUCAUCAAUUCUUCCAUACCAGGCCCUUGGUGCCUGUUUUAAUCCAUAGAGUGCCUUCUUCAACAAAUACACCUUGUCAGCUUUGCCUUGAACAACAAAUCCAGCAGGUUGUUCAACGUAAAUUUCUUCUUGAAGAACACCAUUCAAGAAGGCAGAUUUGACGUCCAACUGGAACACCUUCCAGUUUCUGUGUGCUGCAACAGCAAGUAGCAAUCGGAUAGUGUCCAUCCUUGCUACUGGGGCAAAUGUGUCUGAAUAAUCAACCCCAUACACUUGAGCAUAUCCCUUGACAACGAGCCUGGCUUUGAAUUUGUUGAUUGAACUAUCAGCGUUCAAUUUGGUUCUGAAAAUCCAUUUUACGCCAAUGAUGUUUUUGUCUCCAGGUCUGUCAACAAGUUCCCACGUCUUGUUCUUCUCGAUCAUGAAGAUUUCUUCUUCCAUUGCCUUCUGCCAUGAUGGAUUUUGUUGAGCUUCUUCAUAGUUGUCAGGUUCGCACACAGCAACAUUGCUCCUUUGAUAAAUUUCUUCAAUUGAUCGAGUACCCCUGACUGGUUCAUCAUCAAUUGAUUCGGAGUCAAUCAAUUUAUCUUGCAAGGGCUGAAUUUGAUUAUUAAUCAGCAUGCUCUCCUGUGAAUCAACCCACUCCCACUGUGCAUCUUCAUGAAAUGUGACAUCCCUUGUAAUAGCAAUUUUCUGACUUUGAGGAUGAUAAACCUUGUAGGCUUUAGAAAUUGUGCUAUAGCCAACAAAAAUUCCUUUGAUGGCUUUCUUGUCAAGCUUGUCCCUCUUAAUCUGUGGAACAUGUACAAAACAAACACAACCAAAAAUUUUGAGGAAACGCAAGGAAGGCUUAUAAUUAUACCACAUCUCAAAGGGUGUCAUUUCUGCCAACACUGAUGUUGGAAGUCGAUUCUGGAUGAACACUGCUGUGUUAGCAGCUUCUGCCCACAGCAUUUUGGGUAGAUUCUUCUCAUGCAUCAUGCUUCUCACCAUCUCCAUGACAUAUCGAUUACGCCUUUCACUUACCCCAUUCUGUUCUGGAGUAUAGGGGUUGUUAGCGGUGUUCAAUACCAGCAUCUUCACAGUAAUGGUUGAAUUCGGCUGAGGUAUACUCUUUGCCAUUGUCAGACCGUAUGGCUUGAAUGCUGCUGCCACUUUGGUUCUCCAUUUUUCUUGAAUUUCCAGAAGAUGCCAGCCACCUCUGACUUGAACUUCAUGAAAUAUAUCCAGCACAUACGGGAGUAAUCAUCAAUAAAUAACAGAUAGUAUCUGCUGCCAUUUAGUGAUGGUGUGCUUAAGGGACCAGCUACAUCCGUAUGAAUUAACUGGAGCUUGUGUGUUGCUCGCCAAGUUGAUCGUGGAAAUGGCAUUCUAUUUUGCUUCCCAAAUUGACAAGCAUUACAGUUUAAUUGGAGAUCAGUGAAUGAUGGUAUACCUCUGACAGCUUCAUGAACCUUCAUGGUGAGCAUCCUCUUUUGAUGACAGUGUGCCAGCCGUUUGUGCCAUAGUUCAGUGUCACUAAGAGUGACUGGAAAUGCAGUAUGCUCUCCUUCAAAUGGAACAAAUGAGAAGCUUUUGCCUCUCAUUUUAGCUUGAAGUAUUUUGUGCCCAGCAGCAUCAAAAAUACAGCAAGUGUGAUUCUCAAAAAUCACCUUCAUUCCUUUCUCAAUCAAUUGCCCCACACUCAGCAAAUUUUGAUCAAUAUCAGGUACAUAAAAAACAUCUGCUAUUGUUUUUGUACCCGAGUUUGUUGUAAUGGCAAUUGUUCCCUUUCCCUUAGCUUUAAUGCAUUCACCAUUUCCAAUUCUGACUUUUGCAACAUCUGUUGGCUGCAGAUUUCUGAAGAGACUUUUAUCAAAAGUCAUGUGGUUUGUACAACCACUGUCGAUUAGCCAAUGAUCUGAGGUAGUUUGUACUGAGAAACAUGUUGCCACAAACAACUUGAGGUAGUUUGUACUCUGUAGAUGAUUGCCUCGUGCCCAAGCUGGUUGCAUUUGCUGCACCUUGCAUCAGGCCUCUUCUAGCACUUGAAUGGUGGAUGACCCAUCUUGUUGCAAUGUUGACAUGGUGGAAAAUUUCUUUUAAUGAAUUUUCCUUUACCAUGACCUUGACUGGUGGGUUUGGCUGCAACUUGGUGUUUUCUGCCAAAUUUCCUUCUUUCAGAAUCUAGAAAUUUGGCUUGCAAGGCACCUUCAAUGACAUGAUCUUGCCUCAUAAGCCUUCUUUGUUCUUGGGCUUGUAAGGCAUUCAAAAGUUCUGUCAAGGUAAUACUUGACAGAUCUUUUGUGUUCUCCAGAGUGGUGAUUGAAGCUUCAUAUUUUUCUGGUACUGUGACCAGAAUUUUCUCAACAAUUCUUGAGUCUAAGAAUGAAAUUCCCAGCAAUUUCACCCUGUUUGCAAUUCCUAGCAAUCUGUCUGAGUACUCCUUGAUAGUCUCAGAAUCCUUCAUCCUCUGCAGCUCAAAUUCACGUAUUAAAUUGAGACUUUGCAUCCCACGAAUUUUCUCAUCUCCUGCAUACUCUUCCUUCAAAUAUUCCCAGACAUCCUUAGCUGACUUCAAGGACAUGAUCCUGGUGAAGAUCAUUGUUGAAACAGCAGCAAAAAGAGUGGCUUUUGCUUUUGAUUUCUUGGUCUUUCUCUCCUUAUGACUCUUGAUUUGAGUCAUGGUUGGAUUAUUUGGCAGUGGUAGGAUCUCGUAAUCCUCUUCAACAGCUUCCCAUAAAUCCAUAGCUUCUAAAUAUGUUUCCAUUCGUACUGCCCAAAGUUGGUAAUUUUCUCCAUUGAAGAUUGGAGUUGAGAUAUGAGAGAAGUUAGUUUCGGAAUCCAUUACAGACCCUUCAAGAAAUAAGCUCUGAUACCAAUUGAAAAUACUUUUGCAGAAUAAGUAAAGAACCGAGAAGCAGAAAAAUAAAAGACUUUGAUCUCUAUAGUGACUGUUUGUUACUGUAGAUCAACACCAGAAAUUUGAAUUUGAACAGGGGAUGUUUAUUGCAUGAAAAACUGGAUAAUGAUAAGGAUAAUUGCUCACUUUUAGAGCAAUCAAUUACACUGAUUUAUAGAAGGAAAAUAAACAGAAAAACUAAAAUUAAGCAACGCUACUGCCACGUUUGGCUUACAUUUCGCCACUACUAACCAUUCACCUAAGGACUUGUUCAAUCCUUUAUUCUAGCAGAAAUAAAAACAACACGUGAGCUGAACUGGUCUUCAAGCAACACGUCAGUAACUUAAGGCAAUAAAUUUCAACAGACCCAACCUUCAAGUCACCAGAUCCGUCUCCAAGAUUGAUGUUGUAAGACUCUGCUAGCUAGGAAGUGAAAAAGGAGCUGAUAAGCUUCAGAUACAACAGCUCACGCUCCUUCAACAGUACUGAUGUGUGAAUCCGCACGUUAGAAGUGAUGGA